UACGUAGGGGGGCUAGCGUUGUCCGGAUUUAUUGGGCGUAAAGAGCGUGUAGGCGGCCAGGUAGGUCUGGUGUGAAAACUCGAGGCUUAACCUCGAGAUGUCAUCGGAAACCAUCUGGCUAGAGUCCGGAAGAGGAGAGUGGAAUUCCUGGUGUAGCGGUGAAAUGCGCAGAUAUCAGGAAGAACACCAAUGGCGAAAGCAGCUCUCUGGGACGGUACUGACGCUGAGACGCGAAAGCGUGGGGAGCGAACAGGAUUAGAAC
rnacentral:rRNA from 1 species